rnacentral:misc_RNA from 1 species
UCCGGCUUAUCACCGGCAGUCCCUCUAGAGUGCCCAACUAAAUGAUGGCAACUAGAGGCAAGGGUUGCGCUCGUUGCGGGACUUAACCCAACAUCUCACGACACGAGCUGACGACAGCCAUGCAGCACCUGUCACCGGUCCAGCCGAACUGAAAGCUUCUCUUUCAAGAAGCCGCGACCGGGAUGUCAAGGCCUGGUAAGGUUCUUCGCGUUGCUUCGAAUUAAACCACAUACUCCACCGCUUGUGCGGGCCCCCGUCAAUUCCUUUGAGUUUCAACCUUGCGGUCGUACUCCCCAGGCGGGGUACUUCCUGCGUUAGCGCCGGCACCCAGAGGGUCGCUCCCCCAGGCACCUAGUACCCAUCGUUUACGGCGUGGACUAC